UUCGUCUCGGAGCCUUUUGGCUAAGAAGACAGUGUAGUAUCUGUUCUUAUCAGUUUAAUAUCUGAUACGUACCCCAUCGGGGACGUAUACAUAUUUAAAUGGAUUUUUGCGAACAUGGAGUCCGGAAAAGCGGGGCUUGCUUCCGUCCGCUCCCACGCAUCGACUCGGUUAUUGCAGUCCACUCCUGAGAACGGUGCACCCUCU
rnacentral:snRNA from 1 species